rnacentral:snRNA from 1 species
AGCUGCGCAGUAGACACAGAGCGAACUAUUCUUUCGCCUUUUACUAAAGAAUACCGUGUGCCUGCUGCAAUAAGCAGCAUACGCCUAUUUUUGGAGGGCUCCCUCUCUUUGUGAGAAGGG